rnacentral:lncRNA from 1 species
AACAUUCAGAUCAAGAUCUAAAUUUUUUACCAAAAAGGCUCUAACUCCACCCACUCUAAUCCACCAAAUUAUUGGUGGAUCAAAUUUAAGUUUGGUGGAGUUGAGGAAAAUUAUUCAUGCUACAAAUUACACACAUUUGGCUCUAAACCAGUACAUUCUUUUCUUUCUUUUCUCGCAUCCCCGUCGCAAACACACGCCGAGCUCGUUGUCACCAAGAAAUCACCGCCCGCCCGCAUCUUGAUUAAAAAACAGCAGGCUUACUGUUGAGCAUCUCCAAAGGUUUUGGCAAAUUGACUUGGCAUUUGUUGCUAUUUGCAAACUCCCAAAACAAAAUGCAAAGCAUAAAAGUAGGUCAUCUCUAAGAGAAUUGGCAUAUGGACUUGGCAAAGGAUAAAAAUAGAAGGUCUCUAUGCGCGCGCGCUUUCUUCGCGCGUGACUUUGCUCGCGCGAUCGGGUUUGCAAAGUCGUCUACAGUUUGGCAUUUUUGCCAAGUUUGCUCCCUCAUUUGCCAAGUUGCCCAAAUUGCAAACUCCAAAUGCAAAACCGUUGGAUACCUCUUUUAAUUUGGAGCUUUUUGGCAAAUUACUCAAAUGCAAAACCCUUCGAGAUGCUCAGGUAUAAUAGUAGAUGUGCUUGAAAAUUGUUUUAUCUAACAUCGAUAGUUCCGUAUUAAUUAAAUAAGAGUUGUCCAUAGGGUAUAUAUGCAUAUCCCACCUGGCAUAGUGGCCCAUGGGUCCGCCCCGGACAUGUGUCAUGACUGCUUGUAGCAUGCACCCAAGGUGGUCAUGUCAUCAAGCAAGGUUGAUCUCCACUACCCCAUGAUUUAUGAUUCUUCACCAGCUUUAAUUUGAACGGCAGGAUAAGUCCUUGCUGUCUCUCUAGUAUUUAUAUUACCCUGAUCUUAGUGUCGAUUUCCUCAUGGGGCCUAGCCUAACUAGACUGUCCCAGAGUUCUUGGCUUCUUGCUCUCUACGAAGAAUCUGAGACAUCGUCUUGACUCUUGACCUCUAUUUUUGAGGAAACAGGAGGGGUGUGAGCCCCUACUGAAAAUUUAUUCAAAGGAGUUAAAACUUACAAAGGAAGGAGUAAAGCCAGAGGAAAACUAAGAAACAAAAAAAGAAAUGAAAAACAAGGAAAAGGUAACUGAAAGGAACCAGGCUAUCCUAGAUUUACUAUCCAUUAAUCAAUCCUUGGUGAAUAACUCUUUUUAGCUCUCAGCAAAAGAAGCUGAAACUCAGUUCUGAAAUCAGAUUUCAUUCUCAGCAUACUUGGCUGCAGUUGUCGAAAAAUUGCAUCAUUUCUCACUUUCCAAAUAGUCCAGCACAUUAGAAUGAUAAUUUCCAUGAAGAAGGGAACAUCAAGCUGGUCCUUUAGGCUCUGCAAAAUCUGAAAAGGGUCUAGGUUGGUGUUUAUCUGCAGAUUGAUCCAGCCAGCACUGCAGUGCGAAGGGGCAACCCAGAAACAAAUGGUCUUCAGAUUCAUCUUCAGUACUGGAGCACAAGACACAACUGUAAUCUUGUAAAAACAUGUGUUUUCUUCUAAGGAGUUCCCUGCAGCUUAGUCUGUCCUUGAUGAGAAGCCAAAAAAAGACUUUGUGUCUUUUCUGACAUGAACUAUUCCAUAACCAUUUAUAAACUGGAUGUAGAUUCCUGUGACCACUCAUUUGCUUGUAGGCUCUUUUAACCGAAAAGAUGUUUGAAUUCCAGAUGAACACCCAUCUGUCAUUUAGCUCAUUCAUUUGCAUCUCUACUAUCUGAGUUUGGAGUUGGAUCAUUUGGGUAUGGGCUUGUUGAGACAAAGGCAGGUGAAAGAAAAGGGGACUGUACUUGCACUUUCAGCAAACGAGAUAUUUUUCUUCUUCACAAAAGAGUAUAGUUCUGGGCAGCUGUGCAUGACUGGCUCAUUGCCCCAAAGGUCCUCCCAAAGAAGACAUGAUUUCCCAUUGUUUAUCUCCACCCUAGCCAUUCCUUUAAAUUUGUCCAGAAGCUUUAAGACAUCCUUCCACCAAAAGGAGCCUUUUUUAGUAUUUCUAGGUAAUUUCCCAAAGUCAUAAUGAACCUCCCAGAUCAAUGAGACCCAUGGGGUAUCUUCCUUGUUAAAAAAUUUACUCAAAUAUUUUAACACCAGAGCCUCAUUUUGAGUUUGCAAGUUUAGUACACCGAGACCUCCUUCAUCUUUUGAUCUACAGACCACAGGCCAUGCUACUUUUGGUUUCUGCUUGGCAUUGACAUCAGCCCCUCUCCAGAGGCAGAUCUUCCUGAAUUUAUCAAUCUGUUGGAUUACAGUUUGUUGCAGAAGGAAGGUGCUCAUGCAGAAUGUUGGAAGGGCAGAAAAAAUUGAAUUUGUUACCUCCAGCCUCCCUGCCUGGUUUAAGAAUGCUGAAGUAGCAGCCAACCUCCUUUCACAUCUACUGACUAGAGGGGUGAAGUCUACCACCCUUGGCUUAGUUAGGCUUAAUGGCAGUCCUAAGUAAGUGAAUGGUAGGCUACCAACCUCACAACUGAAGGUUCUGGCUAAGUGUUGCAUUUUUUGCUCACUUGUAUUGAUUGGUACUAUAAAAGAUUUUGAAUAAUUCACUUUUAAUCCAGUUGAUUCUCCAAAGCUAUGAAGAAGAGCUUUUAGUGCCCAUAAUUGCCUGGAGCAAGCUUCCAUUAUGAUUAAAGUAUCAUCUGCGUAUUGGAUCACAGGAAAGUCUGUAGUAUGCCUCAGAGGAAUUGGUAGAUUAAAUAAUCCUUGUUCUCUAGCUUUGUUCAAGACUGCCUGGAGGAGAUCAGCAGCUAAGACGAACAAAAGUGGGGAUAGGGGGUCCCCUUGCCUUACUCCCCUCCUGCAAUGAAUGGUUUUGCCAGGUACUCCAUUGAGGAGCACCGAUGAGUUGCCUGAGUUUAAAAUUGCUUGUAUCCAAUUAGUCCAUUUUUGCCCAAAUCCUUUUGCUCUCACAAUCUCCAGAAUAGCCUUAUGCUCAAUCUUGUCAAACGCCUUCUCAAAGUCUAGUUUCAAGAUUAUGAUCUCUUUCUUUGACUUGUGACAGAUGUGUAUGUAUUCCAGAGCCCAAGCCAGGCAGUCUUGAAUGGUCCUGGAUUUAAUGAACCCAUACUGGUUCUUGUGAAUGAGACUCUUAAUUUUGCUUUGUAAUCUGUUGGCUAGUAACUUGGUUAAAAUCUUUAGUGAGGUAUUUAGAAGUGAGAUUGGCCUGUAGUCAGAGACCUCUUGGGGGCCAUCCUUCUUUGGAAUUAGGGUGAUAUAUGAGCUGUUGAUGCUUCUGAGACAUAAAUUUUCAUCAAAAAAUGCCUGGCAGAGAUUAUAGAAAUCUGAAGCUAUAAGUGACCAACAACCUUUAAUAAAUUCAUUAGUGAAACCAUCUGGCCCUAGAGAUUUAUCAUUUGGCAAUCCAUCUACCACAUCAUCUAUCUCCUUUUUUGAAAAAGGAAUUUCCAACUGCUGUAGUUCUUCCUGUCUCUGUACUAGUCCAUUUAGAUCAAAUACCAUGCUACUGAACUCAGAUGUCCCUAGUCUUUGCUUGAAAGAAUCCCAAAGCAGAGCAGCCUUUUCUUCAUGUUGCUGGCAAGAGUUUCCUUGGGUAUCUUUGAGAACUGCAAUGGUGUUUCUUCUAUGUUUGAUUGUGGCAUGAGCAUGAAAGAAUUUUGUCCCAGCAUCUCCUUCCCUCACCCACUUUAUCUUCCCCCUCUGUUUCCAAUAAAUUUUCUGUUGCUUCAAAAGGAAGAUCAACUUCUCAGUCACCAAAUUCCUGAAGUUCCAUUCAGGUAAAGAAAGAUCUCUAAGUAUCUCAAUUGUUUCUAGGAAGUGUAGGACUGACUUGAUGUUAUUUAUGGUUCUAGCUAGAUUUGGCAAUUGUUGUUUCCAAGUUCUCAAUCCUUUUCUGAGAUUUUUGAAUUUUGCAGUGAGAAGCCUGGCUGCAUCAGAAAUACCCUCCGGUGAUACCCAUUCUUGAACUACCACUGAAGCAAAGUCAUCAUGAUUAAGCCAAUAGUUUUCGAAGCGAAAAAUUCUGCCUUGAGGGAUUUUGGUGCCAAUCUCUACCACACAUGGCCAGUGGUCCGAGGUCUCCAUCACUAGAGUUUUGACUAGAGUGUUUGGGUAUCUACUAGUCCAUGAGUCAGAGGAGAAGAACCAAUCUAGCCUUUCUAGUAGAGGGGGAAAUUGCUUAUUAGUCCACGUGAAGUGUCUUCCAUGUAAAAUUCAAUGAGGCUAAGUCUGUUUAUAGCUUCAUUAAAAAGAAACAUUUCAUUUACAUCAUCCCCCUCUCUAUUUUUGUCCUCAGGUCUUCUCAUCAAAUUAAAAUCCCCCACAAUAAGCCAAUCAAUUUCCUCUGGCAUUUGGAUUUCUCUAAACCAAUUUAGGAAGUCUCUUUUACCAAUAGUUGUCCAUGGUGCAUAAACUGUUGUAAGUAACCUGCUGUCAUUGCUGAACUUGGAAGUGAACUGAAUAGAGAUAGCAUACUCAUUACUAAAAGUCAAAUUGCCUACGAAGGCACUGCUCUUCCACACAACUAGGAUGCCCCCUGAAGCACCUAUAGAAGGUAGGUAUUCAAAGGAAUCAAAGGCUGGGGGCAGAAAUUUCUGAUGAAAGCCAUGUCAAACACCUAUCUUUUAGUUUCCUCUAAACAAAUAAUCUCACAUUUGCUCUCGGUGAUUUUGUCUCUGACAGAGUCCCACUUCUUUCCCGAGUUCACUCCACACACAUUCCAGUUUAGAAUCUUCCAAGUUCUGUUGUUGGCCAUAAAUAAGAACUGUAGUGGCUAACGUUUCAGCAGUUCUUGCUGUCGUCUUCAUCAUUCUUCCUUUUGCUUGCUUCAUCAUCUUCAUCAUUCUUCCUUUUAUCUGCUUCAUCUCCCCCCUGCUUGCUCUUCUCAUCCUUUCCCUUUUUCUGUUUUUCCCUAUUGGGUUUGUUUUCUUCUUCUUAAAAAGGAUAUGAUCAUCAACCAGAUCUGGUUGAAUCUGACAAAAGGAAGUACCGAUCUUUUUCAGAGAUGAGGAUGAUAGAGUUGGGGGUUCAGAAGAACAGCCCACACAGUUUCUUGCCUUGCAAACAUUUCCUUUGUAUCCAUUGUAGCUUGCCUUGACCCUAUCACUUCGUCUGACCACUGAAUCCACUACUGGAGUAGCAGGCCUAGAUUUUCUAAUUCUUUUUUUCCUAGAAAGACCUCAUCCACUUCCUAGUCCUGAAUGGCUUCCUCAAUUGCCUUGACUCCAACAGGCUCUUCAGCAAGGUAAGCACAACUGUCUGAGGUAUUGGGCUUCUUGUUCAUAGAAAUGAAAGCAGUCCAAUCACCCUCAUCUCUUAGUAGGUCGGGAAGGCCUGAAAGGAUUAACUGCUUGGCCUAGGAAUAUUGGGCCGGAGCCCGAAGAAGAGCUUGAAAUAAGCCCAACCAUUUCGCAGGUAUUUCAAUGAGGAAUUUGUCAGCAGACCCACUCUUUUUAGCUGGUUUUGGCGCGAACCAAGGAGGAUUUAAAUGGCUUGGAUAUGGAGCAGGAGGUUUGUUGAAGAAGGUCUUAACCAUUCCCAACUGAAUGUUAUUCUGGAAAACCGGCUCUAUAUCCACCUCUGCCUCAUGUUGAAUUUGAUUCACAUGUUGUGCUACCAGAUGCUGCUCCAGGUUUUGCUGCUGACCUAAAUUUUCUUGCUCAGGUUGGAUAUAAUUCAGAUCAUGUUGAGUUGCUAAGUUUUGGUCCUGUAUUGCCAAAUUCUGAUGAUCUUCUAAAUCAUUCUCCUCUACAUCCAUCAUCAGCUCAUCCUCUGGAAUCUCAUGGUGAAGGAAGUUUUCCCAAGGGUUAAUUUGGGGGAUGGCAACAUUAAAAUCCAGGUUGUCUUCAACAUUCCCCUGGGUUUCCUCAUGCUGUUGUUCUAGCUCAAAAUGUGCCACCAUCUGAAUCUCUUCCUGCACUUGUUCAUUACUAGGAUGAAUUAUCAUCUCCUGCAAAUCAUCCACCCCUAGAACCUCAUUCAAGUCCUGCUCAACAAUGACUGGAGCUUCAUUUAGGUUAAUCUGUUGAUCUCCCUGCUAUCCAGCAGCAGGUAGCUCCUCAGGCCAGCCAGGCCAGUUUUCUUGCUGCUGUUCCUGAAAGUUCUGUCCACGUGCUAACUCUUGACCUUGCAUGUGAGCAAACUGAUUCUGAUCAGCAUGUACUGCAAUGGGUGCCAGUACCUGUUGACCCAGGCCAAAAAAGUUAAAGAGCGGUGGACCUUGGUCUGGUUUUGGGGAAGGGAUUGGGUCCUCAUCUGGUGGUCCAUUGCUUAUGUUUUCAUGUUGUAAUAUUUCCACCUGAAUAGUCCAAGAAUCACCAUCAUAACCCACUGUGUCAGAGAAGACAAUAAAGUGUGGAAUCGAAGCAAGAUCAACUACCCUUGCUCUGACCAACAUCCUAGUUAAAUGGUUAGGAUUGUCGUCCCAGCUAAUAGCCUUUCCAAGGGGCCCCAUAACUGUAUCCACGUACUCUUGCUUCCAGUAACCAUUCGGGAACCCCAUGAGCAUGAGCCAACAUUCCUGGUUGAAGUUAACUCUCCUCCAAUUUCUUCCUUGAUUAUGCUUGGUGAAGGAAAUGUGGACAUCCCCAUAGGGGUGGGGGCUUUCUGACACAAACCUAUCUCUGUCAUAUUCAUUCUUAAAUCUUACAAAGGCCUGUCCUAGAUGACAAGGCUGCACCUCUCUAAUGUUUACUCCCCUAUGCUCCUCCAGAAUUUCCCUAAGAAUCUCCUCCACUGUAGGAAAGUGAAGAGGAUUACCAUGCAAUGGAUUGAUUGUCACGAUCACCAAAUCUUCAUUCUUGCGCAUUGGCCUUCUCCCAGCAACCACUCUAACCAUCCUCGGCCUAUUGGGCACAUCUUCUACAUGCAUUCCUCUUGGCUUGAAUGGACCCGGAUUGGCCCUCUGGUAAGCCAUGGUUGGCGCUUCACCCUCACCUGAAGCUUGUGAUGGCGCUUCACCCUCUCCUGAAGUUUGUGUCGAAGGUGUAGAGGGUAGAGAGAAGUUGUGGAACUGAGGUUUUCUAUAGGCUGUUGACCUCCCCAGCAUCAACGUUGUGUCUGGCGAGAGGGUCUUUGAAGCCUCUGGUCCACCUGUCAAUGGGCGCAGUCUAUCUGGCCAGCAAACCACCAUAAGCUCCCUUGGUGGCACAGUCUGCGAGGAGUAUAGUUGAGAUCUGGCCCAAGCAGUGAAUGAUUUGAACACUGGUGGUAGCAUUAGCGUUGGCUUUGGGAAGAUCAAAGCUUGCUGCCACUCUGUUAGCUGCUGUAAAACCCCCCUCUUUACUCCUCGAAUUACUAUUCCCUAGACAGGUGCUUGCAAUGUGUCCCCCACGCCUGCAGGCCCAACACUUAAUGCUAAAUCUGCAUGCCUCUCUGCGGUGAUCUUCUGACAGGCAUCGAGAGCAAAAACCGGGAUGCUGGCUUUUUGAAAGAUUUUCUCUUAGCCAGGGUUGACUGGCUAAAGAGCCAAAAUUCAAACUUCGACCAAGUUCAACACUGGGUCCCUUUUGGAAGAACUGACCAACCGGUUGCUUCCCUUUAGAGGAAGAAUGCACAUGAACAUUUUUAUCAGGGAAAGAAAUGCGACUGAAAACACUUCUUUUCUUUUUUUGAUGAUUGUCUAAAGGAACUCUAUUUGCACCAGUGAGCACUGAACUUCUAACUACAUCAGCGUAAGAAAGGUUCGAUCUGAGAACACUAGGACUGGCUUUGGCUGCUUUCUUUUGAACUGACCAAGAGGCUUCUUCUUCAGAGCAGAAGGAUUUCCAUUCUUUGAACCAAUGAGGUCCACCAUUACUCCAAAGAUGAAAGUAAAUCUUGUAAAGGGAGCACUCAAAGGAAUGAAGCUUAACAACAUGAAAACCCACACCACUGAGAGAAACUGAGAAACGAAACACUCUAUCAGACAAAGGGAGAACCUCAAAGUCUUCAGCAACACCACCAAUGGUGGCCUGAAGAAGGAAACCCACCGAGACAGGGGAGAGCUUAAGUUUGCAACGCCCAAAAGAGGCAACAAGGAAGAAAGCACGACCAGGCACCGCCGGAGAAACCGAACAGCCAAACUUACUUUGGAUUACAUCCUGAACGCCCACCCCUGGGUGAAAGUUCAGGCCCUGGAGGUCCAGCGCCAUUAAAGCGACAACUUCAGCGCGCCAGAAAUGGUGGCGAUUUUGCCGAGUCCCUUUUUCAGCUGAUGGUCACCGGUGCAUGUGCCCCAUCGCCGAUGUGCUUCACAGUUCUUGAAGUGCUUAGACAGAGAUCGCGCGCUGGUGAUGUGGCCCAAGCACGCGCCCGACCGCUGGGCGCUCGUCGUGGCGCAGCUCCCCGGGCGCACGCCGCGGGAGGCCUAGGAGCACUACGAGGCGCUCGUCGCCGACGUCGACCUCAUCGAGCGGUUGGCCCCUUCCUGGCCGCGCUCUGUUACGCGCCGGGCGCCGCGGAGUUGCACAGGCUGGAGCACCACCGGGCCAACAACGACGGCGGGUCGCUGAAGCUGGAUCUAGCAUAGCACGGUGCCUCGCGUGCGCUCCUCCGUUGGGACGGGAGCCGCCGCCGCAGAAGGCGAGACGACGGCGCGGCAGUUGGAGUUGGAUCUAGAUCGUCAGCGGGAGCUACUCGUCGAGGCCGGCGGGACAGAGCAGCGGCGGGGCGUGGGCGGCGGCGGCGGCGGCGGCGUCCGUUGCUGUUUGAGCCAACGAUCGGAUUUGAAUCCGACUCUUGACCUCUAUAUUCAUUUCUCCGGCACACUACCACACUACCACCUUUGUUCUCCAACCUUACCUUACAAUACAAAGUUG